UACGUAGGGGGCAAGCGUUGUCCGGAUUUAUUGGGCGUAAAGAGCGUGUAGGCGGCCAGGUAGGUCCGUUGUGAAAACUGGAGGCUUAACCUCCAGCUGUCGAUGGAAACCAUCUGGCUAGAGUCCGGAAGAGGAGAGUGGAAUUCCUGGUGUAGCGGUGAAAUGCGCAGAUAUCAGGAGGAACACCGGUGGCGAAGGCGGUUCUCUGGGCAUUACCUGACGCUGAGGAGCGAAAGUGUGGGGAGCGAACAGG
rnacentral:rRNA from 1 species